rnacentral:rRNA from 1 species
GACGAACGCUGGCGGCGUGCUUAACACAUGCAAGUCGAACGGUGAAGCUCCAGCUUGCUGGAGUGGAUCAGUGGCGAACGGGUGAGUAACACGUGAGCAACCUGCCUCUGACUCUGGAAUAAGCGCUGGAAACGGCGUCUAAUACUGGAUACGAGAAGGGUCCGCAUGGGCACUUUCUGGAAAGUUUUUCGGUUGGGGAUGGGCUCGCGGCCUAUCAGCUUGUUGGUGAGGUAAUGGCUCACCAAGGCGACGACGGGUAGCCGGCCUGAGAGGGCGACCGGCCACACUGGGACUGAGACACGGCCCAGACUCCUACGGGAGGCAGCAGUGGGGAAUAUUGCACAAUGGGCGAAAGCCUGAUGCAGCGACGCCGCGUGAGGGAUGACGGCCUUCGGGUUGUAAACCUCUUUCAGCAGGGAAGAAGCGAAAGUGACGGUACCUGCAGAAGAAGCACCGGCUAACUACGUG